rnacentral:rRNA from 1 species
GACGAACGCUGGCGGCGCGCUUAACACAUGCAAGUCGAGCGAGAACCAGGGCUUCGGCCCUGGGGAAAGCGGCGAACGGGUGAGUAACACGUGAGUCAUCCACCCUCGGCACCGGGAUAGCCCGGGGAAACCCGGAUUAAUACCGGAUGGCCCGUCCGCCCUUCGGGGCGGCCGGAAAAGGUAGCUUCGGCCUCCGGCCGAGGACGAGCUCGCGGCGGAUUAGCUUGUUGGUGGGGUAACGGCCCACCAAGGCGACGAUCCGUAGCUGGUCCGAGAGGACGAGCGGCACCACUGGGACUGAGACACGGCCCAGACUCCUACGGGAGGCAGCAGUGGGGAAUCUUGCGCAAUGGGCGAAAGCCUGACGCAGCGACGCCGCGUGCGGGAAGAAGGCCUUCGGGUUGUAAACCGCUUUCAGGAGGGACGAAGCCACUCGGGUGAAUAGCCCAGAGGGUGACGGUACCUCCAGAAGAAGCCCCGGCUAACUACGUGCCAGCCGCCGCAGUAAAAC